rnacentral:rRNA from 1 species
AGUGAACGCUGGCGGUAGGCCUAACACAUGCAAGUCGAACGGCAGCACAGUAAGAGCUUGCUCUUACGGGUGGCGAGUGGCGGACGGGUGAGGAAUACAUCGGAAUCUACUUUUUCGUGGGGGAUAACGUAGGGAAACUUACGCUAAUACCGCAUACGACCUACGGGUGAAAGCAGGGGAUCUUCGGACCUUGCGCGAUUGAAUGAGCCGAUGUCGGAUUAGCUAGUUGGCGGGGUAAAGGCCCACCAAGGCGACGAUCCGUAGCUGGUCUGAGAGGAUGGUCAGCGACACUGGAACGGAGACAGGGUCAAUACUCCUACGGGAGGCAGCAGUGGGGAAUAGUGGACAAUGGGCGCAAGCCUGAUCCAGCGAUACGGCGUGGGUGAAGAAGGCCUUCGGGUUGUAAAGCCCGUUUGUUGGGAAAGAAAAGCAGCAGGUUAAUACCCCGCUGUUCUGACGGUACCCAAAGAAGAAGCACCGGCUAACUUCGUG